UCNAGNCNAUGGAAGUUUGAGGCAAUAACAGGUCUGUGAUGCCCUUAGAUGUUCUGGGCCGCACGCGCGCUACACUGAUCAAGUCAACGAGUUUACAACCUUGGCCGGAAGGUCUGGGUAAUCUUUUGAAACUUGAUCGUGCUGGGGAUAGUCCAUUGCAAUUAUUGGACUUCAACGAGGAAUUCCUAGUAAGCGUGAGUCAUCAGCUCGCGUUGAUUACGUCCCUGCCCUUUGUACACACCGCCCGUCGCUACUACCGAUUGAAUGGCUUAGUGAGGCUUUCGGAUUGGACUUUGGCAGCUGGCAACAGCAGCUAGGGACUNAAAAGUCAUCCAAACUUGGUCAUUUAGAGGAAGUAAAAGUCGUAACAAGGU
rnacentral:rRNA from 1 species